CCUACGGGUGGCAGCAGUGAGGAAUAUUGGUCAAUGGACGCAAGCCUGAACCAGCCAUGUCGCGUGAAGGAUGACGGAUCUAUGGGUUGUAAACUGCUUUUGUACGGGGGUAAACGCCGGUACGUGUCCCGCUCUGCAUGUACCUUACGAAUAAGGAUCGGCUAACUCCGUGCCAGCAGCCGCGGUAAUACGGAGGAUCCAAGCGUUAUCCGGAUUUAUUGGGUUUAAAGGGUGCGUAGGCGGUCUGAUAAGUCAGAGGUGAAAUCCCGAGGCUCAACCUCGGAAUUGCCUCUGAUACUGGUGGGCUAGAGAAUGUGUGCGGUAGGCGGAAUGUAUGGUGUAGCGGUGAAAUGCAUAGAGAUCAUACAGAACACCGAUUGCGAAGGCAGCCUACCAAGCCACGACUGACGCUGAGGCACGAAAGCGUGGGGAGCAAACAGGAUUAGAUACCCGUGUAGUC
rnacentral:rRNA from 1 species